rnacentral:tRNA from 1 species
GUCCCCGUAGCUCAGCAGGAUAAAGCAUCAGAUUCCUAAUCUGAGGGUCACAGGUUCGAAUCCUGUCGGGGACACCA